rnacentral:rRNA from 1 species
UACGAAGGGGGCUAGCGUUACUCGGAAUUACUGGGCGUAAAGCGUGCGUAGGUGGUUCGUUAAGUCUGAUGUGAAAGCCCUGGGCUCAACCUGGGAAUGGCAUUGGAAACUGGCGACCUAGAGUGCGGUAGAGGGUAGUGGAAUUCCCGGUGUAGCAGUGAAAUGCGUAGAGAUCGGGAGGAACAUCCGUGGCGAAGGCGACUACCUGGACCAGCACUGACACUGAGGCACGAAAGCGUGGGGAGCGAACAGG